CCCCGUAUCCACCAUAGUAGAGAGAGAUAGAGAGAGAGAGAAAGAGAGAGAGAGAGAGAGCGAGAUGGCGCAAACGACUAUCGCGAAGGGCUUGGAGGCGAAGCCCCUUCUCUCUCCUCCGGAUCUCUGCGGAGCUCCGAGGGCGACGGCGCGGCGAUCUUCUUCCUCGCUCGCUCUUCGUCCCCGAUCUAAGGUUGGGGGUUUCGGAGCUCUGAGGAUCGUCAGCAAUGGCGGAAGAAGGGCACAGCUUAGGGUUUCGGGUUCGGUGGCGGCGGCGCCCGAGAAGCCCUCGACGGUGCCGGAGAUCGUGCUCCAGCCAAUCAGGGAGAUAUCGGGCACUGUUAAGCUCCCCGGAUCUAAGUCUCUCUCCAAUCGGAUCCUACUUCUCGCCGCGCUCUCCGAGGGUACGACUGUUGUGGAUAACUUGUUAUACAGCGAUGAUGUUAAAUAUAUGCUUGCUGCUUUGAGAACCCUUGGGCUCUCUGUAGAAGAUGAUAGUGCCACAAAAAGAGCAACAGUUGGAGGUUGUGGUGGGAAAUUCCCGGUUGGGGAAGAGUCAAAUAAAGAAGUUGAGCUCUUCCUGGGGAAUGCAGGCACUGCUAUGCGUCCUCUGACUGCUGCUGUUACUGCUGCUGGUGGCAAUGCAAGUUACGUGCUGGAUGGGGUGCCAAGGAUGAGGGAGAGGCCUAUUGGAGACUUGGUUGCAGGAUUAAAGCAGCUUGGUGCGGAUGUUGAUUGUUUCUUGGGUACCAACUGCCCCCCUGUUCGUGUCAAUGGAAUGGGAGGCCUUCCUGGUGGAAAGGUGAGACUCUCUGGAUCCAUAAGCAGUCAGUACUUGACUGCUUUGCUUAUGGCUGCCCCCCUGGCUCUUGGAGACGUCGAAAUCGAGAUCAUAGAUAAACUCAUAUCUGUACCUUAUGUCGAAAUGACUUUGAAAUUGAUGGAACGAUUUGGCGUCACUGUGGAGCAUUCUGAUAGUUGGGAUAGGUUCCUCGUAAAGGGUGGUCAAAAGUACAAGUCACCUGGAAAUGCUUAUGUUGAAGGCGAUGCAUCAAGUGCUAGUUACUUCUUAGCCGGUGCUGCAGUAACUGGGGGCACUGUCACUGUUGAAGGCUGUGGCACUACCAGUUUACAGGGGGAUGUCAAAUUUGCUGAAGUUCUUGAAAAAAUGGGAGCGAAGGUCACAUGGACUGAGAACAGCGUGACAGUAACUGGCCCCCCGCGUGAUUCUUCCAAUAAGAAACACUUGCGUGCCAUUGAUGUCAACAUGAACAAAAUGCCUGAUGUUGCCAUGACGCUUGCUGUUGUCGCGCUAUUCGCCAAUGGUCCAACAGCCAUUAGAGAUGUGGCUUCUUGGAGAGUUAAGGAGACGGAGAGGAUGGUAGCCAUUUGUACAGAGCUUAGAAAGUUGGGCGCGACAGUGGAAGAAGGGCCUGAUUACUGCAUCAUCACACCGCCAGAGAAGCUGAGCGUGACGGCGAUCGACACAUACGACGAUCACAGAAUGGCGAUGGCAUUUUCCCUUGCUGCUUGUGCCGAUGUUCCCGUCACGAUUAACGACCCCGGUUGCACCCGCAAGACUUUUCCCGACUACUUCGAUGUCCUAGAGAGGUUCGCGAAGCACUGAGGCGGCCAAAAUUAUGGUUCCAGCAAAAAGGGUGUGCGAACUACGGCCUAAGAUUAAGAUUAGGAAGCAGAUGCCAUGAAAAUAUCAUGGAUAGCUUAUGAGGUUGUUUUGGCGGAGGGAUUGUUGAGGAGGCCAUGACAGGAGUAGCGGAGCUCUAGGGCAUGAUCGUCGCCACCGCAACUCUACAUUGGGCAUCGUUAAUGAAUUGAAAUAGACAAAGAGUAUCUCGCUAUGCAAGAAUUGGCCCUCUAUGAUUAUCGAAUCUGAGUGCGGGGCAUCGAUGAGUUGAGAGCCAAAAAUUAUGCAUUUGAUUAUGUUUCUUCGGCAGCCAAAAACAUGAAAAAAAAAUAAUACAAGAGUGUCUAUUUUUAAUAUUAAAACAGGCAAGAUUUGUAAUUGUGUGGUGUAUUGACCAGAUGAUGAGCUUGCUUACUGUGGGUGAAGUUUUGAAUUGCAGUUAUAUUUUGAGCCACUAUUUAAACUGUCCAA